CAACCCCUCAACAGCAACAUUGCACCCCAUCAGACUAGCUGGUGUCACAGGAGUGAAGAGGCCUCACCUUUGUGUCUUGAGGAAUCAACAAGAGUCAUCAGCGCCUCAAAGUUUAAUGGAAAUUGGGACCCACUGAGAGAGAGAAUUCCUGUGGACCUGCCUGAACUGAAGCUUUGGAUUCACUAACUGGAAAUCCUUCUGUUGUCACAUUCUGUUGUUACUUCACUGUAAAUAAACGCACUGAACUUAA